UAAUGCAUCGGAACAUGUCCAUUCGUGGGGGAGUAGCCCGGCGAAAGCCGGAUUAAUACCGCAUACGCCCCGAGGGGGAAAGCGGGGGACUUCGCAAGAGGCCUCGCGCGAAUGGGUUGGCCGAUGUCCGAUUAGCUAGUUGGUGAGGUAAAGGCUCACCAAGGCGAUGAUCGGUAGCUGGUCUGAGAGGAUGAUCAGCCACACUGGGACUGAGACACGGCCCAG
rnacentral:rRNA from 1 species